GAGUUUGAUCAUGGCUCAGAUUGAACGCUGGCGGCAUGCCUUACACAUGCAAGUCGAACGGCAGCACGGGAGCUUGCUCCUGGUGGCGAGUGGCGAACGGGUGAGUAAUGCAUCGGAACGUAUCCUGGAGUGGGGGAUAACGUAGCGAAAGUUACGCUAAUACCGCAUAUUCUGUGAGCAGGAAAGCGGGGGACCUUCGGGCCUCGCGCUCUUGGAGCGGCCGAUGUCGGAUUAGCUAGUUGGUGAGGUAAAGGCUCACCAAGGCGACGAUCCGUAGCAGGUCUGAGAGGAUGAUCUGCCACACUGGAACUGAGACACGGUCCAGACUCCUACGGAGGCAGCAGUGGGAAUUUUGGACAAUGGGGCAACCCUGAUCCAGCCAUGCCGCGUGAGUGAAGAAGGCCUGG
rnacentral:rRNA from 1 species